rnacentral:tRNA from 1 species
GACCGCGUAGCUCAGUUGGUAGAACAUUGGGCUAGUAUUCCAAAGGUCGUAGGUUCGAUUCCCACCGUGGUCA